rnacentral:lncRNA from 1 species
UAGCCGAAGGCAAUGGAAAACACAUGCCCAGGCCUUGACCUCUAUGCUUCAUUCCUUCAGUGUUUCAUUCCUUGACCUCAAGCUGUAUGGCAUUCAAGAGUACAAACCCCACUGGGACUUCCAUACUCUGUAGACUCUGUAUAAACAUAUUAACAAUAGCACCUAGGAGCCCAUAAUUGGCUUUGUGUGAGCUGUGGCUUUGCCUGAAGACUUGCUGACCACCAUUGUCUGUCCAGCAACUCCCAACAGUGG